AUUGAACGCUGGCGGCAGGCCUAACACAUGCAAGUCGAACGGUAACAGGAAGAAGCUUGCUUCUUUGCUGACGAGUGGCGGACGGGUGAGUAAUGUCUGGGAAACUCCCUGAUGGAGGGGGAUAACUACUGGAAACGGUAGCUAAUACCGCAUAACGUCGCAAGACCAAAGAGGGGGACCUUCGGGCCUCUUGCCAUCGGAUGUGCGCAGAUGGGAUUCGCUAGUAGGUGGGGGAACGGCUCACCUCGGCGACGAUCCCUAGCUGGUCUGAGAGGAGGACCAGCCACACUGGAACUGAGACACGGUCCAGACUCCUACGGGAGGCAGCAGUGGGGAAUAUUGCACAAUGGGCGCAAGCCUGAUGCAGCCAUGCCGCGUGUAUGAAGAAGGCCUUCGGGUUGUAAAGUACUUUCAGCGGGGGGGAAGGGAGUAAAGUUAAUACCUUUGCUCAUUGACGUUACCCGCAGAAGAAGCACCGGCUAACUCCGUG
rnacentral:rRNA from 1 species